GCGUCCGUAGCUCAGUUGGAUAGAGCGACGGACUUCGAAUCCGUAGGCCGCGCGUUCGAGCCGCGCCGGACGCA
rnacentral:tRNA from 1 species